GGCUUAAUGUCCAUAGUGAAAUAAGCUAGCUAGCUACUAGACUAGUGUUAGCCUACAUUUAAUCACCAUUUAAUCAGUGCAGGGAAACGUUUAGAAAGAUAUUCAUAUUAAAUCAUUGUCCCUGCCCCUUUUGGCGGACUUAACAGAUGAGUCAGCAGCACCCCAGUCUCCCCCUGACCAUGUCUCUCCCUGUCCCAGUAAAGCAACAUUGUGUUCAAUGACAUGCCGGUUAGCAUCAUUGCAGGGAGUCUGUUGGGAUUUCUCUGUCUCUCUUUUACCAUUACA